GGUUAAGUGACUAAGCGUACACGGUGGAUGCCUUGGCAGUCAGAGGCGAUGAAAGACGUAGUAACUUGCGAUAAGCCCAGAUUAGGUAGUAACAACCAUUUGAGUCUGGGAUUUCUGAAUGGGGAAACCCACGUGCAUAAGCACGUAUCCUUACCUGAAUACAUAGGGUAAGGAGGCGAACCGGGGGAACUGAAACAUCUAAGUACCACGAGGAAAAGAAAUCAACCGAGAUUCCGAAAGUAGCGGCGAGCGAAAUUGGACUAGCCCUUAAGCUUUACACGCGUUAGACGAACGGUCUGGAAAGUCCGACGAUACAGGGUGAUAGUCCCGUAGUUGACGACGUGUGUUCAGUGAAAUCGAGUAGGGCGGGACACGUGAUAUCCUGUCUGAAUAUGGGGGGACCAUCCUCCAAGGCUAAAUACUACUGACUGACCGAUAGUGAACCAGUACCGUGAGGGAAAGGCGAAAAGAACCCCUGUGAGGGGAGUGAAAUAGAACCUGAAACCGUGUACGUACAAGCAGUAGGAGCAGGCUUGUCCUGUGACUGCGUACCUUUUGUAUAAUGGGUCAGCGACUUAUAUUCAGUGGCAAGGUUAACCAUCUAGGGGAGCCGUAGGGAAACCGAGUCUUAACUGGGCGUUCAGUCUCUGGAUAUAGACCCGAAACCAGGUGAUCUAGCCAUGGGCAGGUUGAAGGUUGAGUAACAUCAACUGGAGGACCGAACCGACUAAUGUUGAAAAAUUAGCGGAUGACUUGUGGCUAGGGGUGAAAGGCCAAUCAAACCUGGAGAUAGCUGGUUCUCCCCGAAAGCUAUUUAGGUAGCGCCUCGGACGAAUACUACUGGGGGUAGAGCACUGUUAAGGCUAGGGGGUCAUCCCGACUUACCAACCCUUUGCAAACUCCGAAUACCAGUAAGUACUAUCCGGGAGACACACGGCGGGUGCUAACGUCCGUCGUGGAGAGGGAAACAACCCAGACCGCCAGCUAAGGUCCCAAAUUACUACUAAGUGGGAAACGAUGUGGGAAGGCUCAGACAGCCAGGAUGUUGGCUUAGAAGCAGCCAUCAUUUAAAGAAAGCGUAAUAGCUCACUGGUCGAGUCGGCCUGCGCGGAAGAUGUAACGGGGCUAAGUAGUAAACCGAAGCUGCGGCAAUGUGCUUUUGCACAUUGGGUAGGGGAGCGUUCUGUAAGCGGUUGAAGGUGUGUGGUAACGCAUGCUGGACGUAUCAGAAGUGCGAAUGCUGACAUGAGUAACGAUAAAGGGGGUGAAAAACCUCCUCGCCGGAAGACCAAGGGUUCCUGUCCAACGUUAAUCGGGGCAGGGUAAGUCGACCCCUAAGGCGAGGCCGAAAGGCGUAGUCGAUGGGAAACGGGUUAAUAUUCCCGUACUUCUUACAAUUGCGAUGGGGGGACGGAGAAGGCUAGGUGGGCCUGGCGACGGUUGUCCAGGUUCAAGUGCGUAGGCUUAAGAGUUAGGUAAAUCCGGCUCUUUUUAAGGCUGAGACACGACGUCGAGCACCUACGGGUGUGAAGUCAUUGAUGCCAUGCUUCCAGGAAAAGCCUCUAAGCUUCAGAUUGUAAGGAAUCGUACCCCAAACCGACACAGGUGGUCGGGUAGAGAAUACCAAGGCGCUUGAGAGAACUCGGGUGAAGGAACUAGGCAAAAUGGUACCGUAACUUCGGGAGAAGGUACGCUCUUGAUGGUGAAGUCCCUCGCGGAUGGAGCUGACGAGAGUCGCAGAUACCAGGUGGCUGCAACUGUUUAUUAAAAACACAGCACUGUGCAAAAUCGUAAGAUGACGUAUACGGUGUGACGCCUGCCCGGUGCCGGAAGGUUAAUUGAUGGGGUUAGACUUCGGUCGAAGCUCUUGAUCGAAGCCCCGGUAAACGGCGGCCGUAACUAUAACGGUCCUAAGGUAGCGAAAUUCCUUGUCGGGUAAGUUCCGACCUGCACGAAUGGCGUAAUGAUGGCCACGCUGUCUCCACCCGAGACUCAGUGAAAUUGAAAUCGCUGUGAAGAUGCAGUGUACCCGCGGCUAGACGGAAAGACCCCGUGAACCUUUACUACAGCUUGGCACUGAACAUUGACCCUACAUGUGUAGGAUAGGUGGGAGGCUUUGAAGCACGUACGCCAGUAUGUGUGGAGCCGUCCUUGAAAUACCACCCUUGUAGUGUUGAUGUUCUAACGUCGACCCCUAAUCGGGGUUGCGGACAGUGCCUGGUGGGUAGUUUGACUGGGGCGGUCUCCUCCCAAAGAGUAACGGAGGAGCACGAAGGUGGGCUAAUCACGGUUGGACAUCGUGAGGUUAGUGCAAUGGCAUAAGCCCGCUUGACUGCGAGAAUGACAAUUCGAGCAGGUGCGAAAGCAGGUCAUAGUGAUCCGGUGGUUCUGAAUGGAAGGGCCAUCGCUCAACGGAUAAAAGGUACUCCGGGGAUAACAGGCUGAUACCGCCCAAGAGUUCAUAUCGACGGCGGUGUUUGGCACCUCGAUGUCGGCUCAUCACAUCCUGGGGCUGAAGUCGGUCCCAAGGGUAUGGCUGUUCGCCAUUUAAAGUGGUACGCGAGCUGGGUUUAGAACGUCGUGAGACAGUUCGGUCCCUAUCUGCCGUGGGCGUUGGAAGAUUGAAGGGGGCUGCUCCUAGUACGAGAGGACCGGAGUGGACGAACCUCUGGUGUUCGGGUUGUGUCGCCAGACGCAUUGCCCGGUAGCUAAGUUCGGAAUCGAUAACCGCUGAAAGCAUCUAAGCGGGAAGCGAGCCCUGAGAUGAGUCUUCCCUGAUACUUUAAGUAUCCUAAAGGGUUGUCGGAGACUACGACGUUGAUAGGUCAGGUGUGUAAGUGCUGUGAGGCAUUGAGCUAACUGAUACUAAUUGCCCGUGAGGCUUAACCAU
rnacentral:rRNA from 1 species